rnacentral:lncRNA from 12 species
CUACCACAUUCUUUCAGCUCUGAGAGCCUGUGUUUCAUUCACCUUGAUCUGCGAGUCUCCAGGAAUCGAGGCCCUUUCUUUCUUCUGGCUGGGAGCACCUGACAAAGGAAGGAGCUGCUCCAGCAGGAAAGAGUAUCCAUGUCUGUCCCACAGCCCUGACAGCAUCAGCCCCGAUUGCUCAUCUGUUUCCAAGUACAGCUGAGACAUUUUGCUGGUGGGCAGAGAAGUCAGGGACACUGCAUCCAGCACCCUGCAGCGAAGGAAGCAUUAGUACUGCUGUUGUUAGCCU